UAGGGAAUCUUCGGCAAUGGGGGGAACCCUGACCGAGCAACGCCGCGUGAGUGAAGAAGGUUUUCGGAUCGUAAAGCUCUGUUGUUAAGGAAGAACGAGUGUGAGAAUGGAAAGUUCAUGCUGUGACGGUACUUAACCAGAAAGGGACGGCUAACUACGUGCCAGCAGCCGCGGUAAUACGUAGGUCCCGAGCGUUGUCCGGAUUUAUUGGGCAUAAAGCGAGCGCAGGCGGUUAGAAAAGUCUGAAGUGAAAGGCAGUGGCUCAACCAUUGUAGGCUUUGGAAACUGUUUAACUUGAGUGCAGAAGGGGAGAGUGGAAUUCCAUGUGUAGCGGUGAAAUGCGUAGAUAUAUGGAGGAACACCGGUGGCGAAAGCGGCUCUCUGGUCUGUAACUGACGCUGAGGCUCGAAAGCGUGGGGAGCGAACAGG
rnacentral:rRNA from 1 species